AAAUACCCUUUCUCUUUGGUAAAAUGAGUUUUACUUCAUAUGUUUCUAAACUUCCACAAAAGCUAGAGAAAGAAAGAGAGAGAAGGAAAAAGAAAUAGAAAGGAAGUAGAGAGAAAGAAGUGGUCGGCAGCCCAUGAGGGAAGAAGGAAUAGGAAUUUUUCCAUGCUAUCCAUGUAUAUUAUCUACCUUGGCAAGAAGAAGAAAGAUAGCAUCAAACAAAGGUAUAAAUCUAAAAACCCCAAACUAGUUUAAUGCAUUUUAUUUUGGUGGUUUUAAAUCAAAUAUUGGACUUAUGAUUCUAAACUCAAAAAUCAUAGAUCUUCAUGUUAAAUGAUGUGUAGAUCUUACAAUUUUGGAUGUUAACAAGCUUGAUCAAAGAAGAUAAAUGAAAACAGUUUUUAAAGCUUAGAAAAGCUAGUGACUGCUGCCCCUAAACAGAAAAUUCAGGGUUAGUUAGACUACUCUUAAAAUUCCGGGCUUUUGGUAUGUUGUAGUACACUGAAUAAGCUUUCCAUAGACUCUAGAACGGAUUAAAUCCGACUUCGGAGGAAAGAGUUAUGCCAUUUUAAAGUAGCCAAGUCAAAACUGGAAAACUCAUUUCGGUUUAGUUCCUUUGUACAAAUUUCUGGGCUGAUAUGUUCGGAAUCUGGAAAAACGUCAGUAGGGAAGAGUUGUAGUCCCGGAAGUUAGCUUCGCGUGGGCUCAAGAAUCGCCUAAAACUGUUUUAAAAUGAAAGAGUUAUGACUGUUUUAGCAAAAUAGGGUAAAUCUGGAAAAAAGAUGAAAAUUGUUGCGAGUGGACAUUUUUGCGGCCUGUUUUAUGCUGCCUAAGAGGUUCGAAAUUACAGGGUGAUAUUUUUUAAAAAUACUUUGAUAUGCCAUGUAUAACAUAUCCAAAAAUCAGAUUAAUCGGAGUUACGAGUAAUACGUGAGAAAAUCGCGAAAUAGCUAGUUUGUUAAGCGCACGAUUGGGCGCAACAGUUGCCAAGCAGCGCAGCCGCGCGGCGCCGUGCUAUGCUGUUGUUUGACAUCCUUUUAGCGCAUUGUUUUGAUUAGUUUUCGUGAUCCAUUUUCGCGGUGUAAAAUUUUUAUAAAAUACUAUGCCAUGAGGUCUAUAAUACGCCUGAAAUUUCGCUGUUAUAUGACUCAUGAUUUGAGAAUUAAAAAUGAUCGAAUAGGCAUGUCAAAACUUGAAAACGAGCGAACGCCGAGCGUCGGUGCGUCGAGCGACUUUGACGUUCGACGUUCCGAAUCGUGUUCCGGCAAAAUAAUAAGUCAUAAUAAAUCUAAUAAAGUCCUAACGGACGAGAUUUGACUAUAAGUGAUAUUUUAUGCCGAGAAACUUUCUUUCAGGCAUAAAUAAAGCAAUAAAAAUAUGUAAUAAAUAUAAAUUACAUAUUUAAGCGAAAUAAAAAAAUAUUGUUGCCUAUAAAAUUAUUUUGUGAUGAAACAAAGAAUGUAAAACCUUUGAAAAAUUGUAUUAAUCAUAAAAAUGAUAUUUUGAGGUUUUCGGUGCUCAAAAUGAAGUUUUUGAGAUGAGAUUUAUGUAACGUAAUAUAUAUAUAUAUAUAUAUAUAUAUAUAUAUAAAUAUAUAUGAAACGAAAAUGCGAAUAAUCGUAAAAUGAAAAAUUAAGCGAAUGUGCUACCGAGAUAAAAUAUUUAUAUGAGGCAACAGUCAGUGUUGACUCAUGAACGGACAAACUGAUGUAAAAAUUAUUUAAAUUAAAGAAAUAAUAUAGUAAAUUGAGUUUUACUAUAAAAGCUAUGCAUUAGCUGUUUAAACUUCGAAUUUGUGAGUAAAGGUAAAAGAUAUUUCUAAAAUGAAAUUUAUAUGGUUUAAGCUUCAAGAUGUAAAAUAUUUGCAUCUUAAAGUGUGAGACCUUUAUUAUUUAUAAAAAAAGUAAAAUAUUAUUACAUAAUUAAUAUAUAAUAUUAGAAAGUGAUUAAAAUAUUAUUAAAUGAUUAAUAAUAUUAGUAAGGGAUUUAAAUAUUAUUAAAUGAUUAAUAAUAUUUGUGAAUGAUAAAUAUUCUAUUAAAUGAUUAAAAAUAUUAGACAAAAGUUUAAGAUAAUGGUGAAGUGAUAGUAAUAUUAUUAAGGGAUAAUAAUAUUACUAAUUAUUCAAUGUUUAAUUAUGUGGCUAAAUGUUAGCUAAUUUAUUAUUUGAGUAAUAGUGUUGUGAGAUAAAAUGUAUUAUGCUAAUUGGAGGAUCGAUCUUAUUAAUGAUAGGUCUUUCAUAAGAGAUUAAUUUAGAUUGCAUAGCGGUAAUCAACGUUACAG
rnacentral:lncRNA from 1 species